AGAAUUCAAAGGCUUCUCCUACUUUGGUGAAGACCUGAUGCCCUGAGAAACUGCUUCACAUGGAGUUAGCUCACUGCAAGGAGGGUGUUGAGACAAUCCCGUGUUGCAGAGGCUCAGAAUGUCUCGAACUAUUCGUCCUCCCCAGAGCCCCAGUCCCACAUCUGCUCUCUUAUUUAUUGCAUCCCCUCAUCCCAGGCCCUGUCCUUCCCCACCCUCCCAGUGACCAGAAGGCCCUCUUUGGUCCAGACUCACCAAGAUCACAGAUUUGAACUGCGUCUGCUCUGUGUGCAGUGCUAGGUCUGGAGUAGCCGUCCACCCACAACCCUGAAGCAGCUUCAGUUCUUUUAUUACAAAGAAAAAAAACCCACGAAAACUCUGGCUGUGCCCACUGGACAUGGAAUCUUGACUCCUCCCUUCUCUCAUUCCUCCUGGCCCGCCAUUCCUGCCCGGCUACCUAAGAGAAGAGACCAGAGUUUCUUCCACAAGGGCUGGUGCCCCGAGGCACGCCCUUCAUGGGAGGAUCCUGGGGAUGCUCAGGCUGUCCAACUGUGGCGGUUUGCUCUGGAAUUGCACAUUCCUGCUUGCUUUGGUUUUAGCUUUUUUUGAGCAUGCCAAAGUUGUGUGCGUUUGUAUCUCAUGGAAGAAAUCGUUUUGAUUUUGAACUCUUAACAUUUAAAAUAAGAAAAAAAAAGAGGAAGAAAGAAAAAAGAAAGAAAACUGUUACCAAGUUCACUUUCUAAUUGGCCAAAAGAUACACAUCCCAGUGUGAACACGGGUAGAUAUUAAAGGGCUAAUACACGGUGAGAAUCCAGUCGUCCAAAGUUCAUUAUUGAUACUUUAGUGAUACAUGAGGUCUAUGCAAAGAGAGCGAAGGAAACUCUGGCUUCUCAUCAUGAGAAUUCUCCCUGAGCACAAAGAUCACCAGAGCAACAGCCAAGACCCCAAGGUUCCAGAAAAACUUAACUCCCAAAUUCUCUCUCCAGUCUUGCCCCACGUUCCCAGCAUAAACUCCUAUUUUCUCUGCGCUUCUACAAGACGGUCAUACCCCUGUGUUGUGGUUUAGGACAUUGGAUAUGUAGAGUAACUCUGAAGUAUCUGCUUUGGGGAUGCAAGGAACGAAACGCAGCCUGGCUCAGGCAGUUGUCAGGAGACUAAGGAGCAACUGACCUGAGGACCAACGGUGCUGGGAUGUGGCCAGAGUUUUGGCGACGUUCGAUGGUAACUCGCGUGGACUCUGUUUAACGGACUGACAUUGCCCCCUGUAGCUGCGCUGAGUGUUACAGUUUUGAUUCCCAAGGGUUCCCGGUGGUUUUGUGUACAUGUCCCCUGGAGGCCAUCCAAUUACCUGUUUUACAGAACUGAUUUAGCAGGGAAGGGGAUCCAACUGUUGCACGUGGAUUUCCCAACCGCCCCUAAAUAUAUAUACCUGUGAGUGGCAAACAGGCACUAACGAAGCUUUUUGCCUUUUGUACAUUUGAGAUUUUUUUUUUGUAUAUAGUGUUUGCUGCAAGGCCUGUGGAAUUAAUUCAUUGAAUAUAGAGGUAUCAACUGCUGCAUGCUCAGGCAUAUCAUAAAACCUUAGUCUAUGGAAGAAUAACUAUAAUAAUGUCCAGGUGCAAUCUCCUUAUCACCUAUUGGUUCAAGUUACUGAGAGAGAGGUAUGUUUCCUUUAGGGAGGGCUGGGGCCCUUUAUACUGUUUAUUUCCUUUUGGGUUAAAAGUGUAACCUUAUAUUGAGCUCUGUUAAAGUCACUCUCGGCUCCCCCAUGCAAUGUCAUGCCCUGAUAGAGACGGCAGACAGAAAAGAAUGUUCCCGACAGUGGUUUCCAAGCUUGGACAGUGACUAUUUUGAGCCCAUACUAAAUGUGUCCCGAUUUGCAUAUGGCCGGUCGAAGCCUCUGUCUCUGAUGAUGACCUUCAGUUCUCUUCUUUGCUUUUUUUUUUUUUUUAAGAAAAACUCAGGUGUAACUGUGAUCUAUUCUUAUGAUGCUUGCAAAUAUUGAAUACUAUGCUGUAUCGAUCUGUAUGUUUGGCAUACCAGGGAAGUGAUGAGGAACAUUAGGUUAAUUUAAUUUAUCUUCAGUGACUUGACAUACUGGGGGAAGACUAUCUUUCAGAGCGGAUAACAAGCACAGAAACAUCUUCAUGGUGGUAUCAUCUCAAUGUUUAGAAAAACAUGAUUAUACGUCCAUCAUACUCAGAUAUUCUCUCUCUCCCUCCCUCCCUCCCUCCCCCCCCAACUCCUCUCUCCCUCUGCUUCCUUUACCAUUUCAAACAUUGAACAGCCAAGGCCAAUAUCAAAUGCCCCCCGCCAGGGUUUGGUGGUAUUCAUGUUCCAGUGGAGGCUAGACUCUUCCUCAGGGCCACUGGCACUACUGCUGGGAAAUCAAACAAUAUAUUCCACCAGCAACUCUAGGAAGUCAGCCCCCUGGCUCCUUUUUGGUGCCCAUAGCCCUGCUGGCUAGGAGGCUUCUGGCCAAUGCUUUGUGUCCAGUGGAGAACCACACACACGUGUGUUCCUUGGGUAUCUUCUGAGUCCUUUCAGCAAGAACUUAGCCGCAGGGAAUGUGGCUUGGAGGUAGAGCUCUUGCCUGGCUGGUAUGAAGCCUUGUACCCAGCAUCACAAAAACAGCAGUGGUAGUGGGCACGGCCACACUGACAGCAGGAUAUCAUCUACCAGGUCCAUACUUCUCCAACUCUCACUCUCUUUCUCAAAAAAAAAAAGUACAAAACAAGGAAAAUACACCGAAAACCUACAUGAAGGAUAGUAAUUCCUCCCCACCUCUCAUUAUGGACUUUGUGAAGUAGAAACAUAUUUUUUUUUCCCUCCAAAGGUGAAAACACCAUUCAUUCUUGCUUUAAAAAUAAAAGAAGGCUAAAAAAAAUUUACCUCUUUUUAAAUUAUGUGCAAAGUAAUUCUGGCUGAAUAGAAACGUAUUUGAUUUUAGGGGGUUUUCUUUUGUAUUGUGAAGCUUUCUUCGUACACUUCUUUUCCUUUCUGGGUGUGAUUUUGAUCCCUCGCCAUCCAUUAGUGUGAUCUCAUUGUGAACAUUACUGUGCCAAAUGUACUGUAUCAAAAGGAUGUGAAUGUGUAUUGUUCCAGAACGUGAUAAACAUGACGAUGUUAAAUCUCGCC
rnacentral:lncRNA from 1 species